UUAGGAGGAGGGUAUAAAUAUAAGUGGGAUCAGAUGAGAGGCCCAGAUCGUUCGAAAAUCCCCCAGAACUCUCGACCCGUUUCGGAGGCUCGGUGACCCGCGACUGGGUCUGACCGUACUCUCGCCAUCCGGCCACCGAUCGAUGGUGCACCGACAUCAAUCUGUUCCUCUGGACGUCGCUGACACGCCACCGAUCACGGCUUGACCAAUUGUCCAUCGUGGAGAACGAAUCGACGGCGACAAGCUUGAAAAUUUUCCAGCGAGUCUUCUGCAAAUUCCGGCAUGUGAGUUUCCUAUUUCCGGCGACUUUUCUGGCUUCGUCUGGUUCGCCAUCCGCCCUGGUCCCACCUGUUGGUGCACGUUGACCUCGGCUGGAGUUAGAAAUUAGAAUUUCUGGGUUGUGGACGUCGAGGCUUGGAUCAUCGAGUUUUUGAAAGCUGUUGCCGAGUUGGAUUGGAAGCUUGGGUUCUUACCUGCAGGUUACACUACUGAAGGUAAAUUCGAAGUUUAAGACAGAAUGUUUCUUGUUUAGCUUCUGGCUUGAGAAAUUGAUUGGGUUGUGUUGACUGGGAUAUUGAUAGUAUACUAGUCUGUGAAAUUGACUGUUAGUGAUGAACAAGUUAAUUGUGGGAAUUCUGUUCUGUUGACGAUUGGAAUUUUGGUUAUUGUCAAUUGAGAAGUGAAAGUACAGAAAUUAAGAAAUGGUUGUUAAAGAAAUGAUAUGUGGUGAACUGUUUGAUUUGGUUUU